rnacentral:tRNA from 2 species
GGGGAUGUGGCUCAGUGGUAGAGUGCUUGCCUCACAUGCAUGAGGCCCUGGGUUUGAUCCCAGCACCACCA